GACGAACGCUGGCGGCGUGCCUAAUACAUGCAAGUUGAGCGCUGAAGGUUGGUCCUUGUACCAACUGGGUGAGCAGCGCACGGGUGAGUAACGCGUGGGGAAUCUGCCUUUGAGCGGGGGACAACAUUUGGAAACGAAUGCUAAUACCGCAUAAAAACUUUAAACACAAGUUUUAAGUGUGAAAGAUGCAAUUGCAUCACUCAAAGAUGAUCCCGCGUUGUAUUAGCUUGUUGGUGAGGUAAAGGCUCACCAAGGCGAGGAUACAUAGCCGACCUGAGAGGGUGAGCGGCCACAUUGGGACUGAGACACGGCCCAAAAGGCCUCGGGAGGCAGCCGUAGGGAAUCUUCGGCAAUGGACGAAAGUCUGACCGAGCAACGCCGCGUGAGUGAAGAAGGUUUUCGGAUCGGAAAACUCGGUUUGUAGAGAAGAACGUGGGUGAGAGUGGAAAGCUCAUCAAGUGACGGUAACUACACAGAAAGGGACGGCUAACUACGUG
rnacentral:rRNA from 1 species